rnacentral:lncRNA from 1 species
AAAAAUAAUAACAAAAUAAUUUCAGAAAUCUUAAAAAGGAACAGAGACCUUUAACAUGCAUUUUCCGGCAGAAGAAACUCAUGAGAAAAACAGUAAAAGAACAACAUGUGAAACACCAUAGAAGAACUUGUAAGAACAUAGUAGAAGAACAACAUAAGAAACCUAGUAGAAGAACAUCAUAAGAAACACAGCAGAAGAAACACGUAAGAAUCACAGUAGAAGAAACGCAUAAGAAUCACAGUAGAACAUGCUAAAGAUUAGAAAAACCCUAAAUCGGAAAAGAUAAAGGUUUUUAAGGUAGAGUUUUUUGAAAGGAACUUUAAAAAUGUUUGGAGGUAUAGGGAAAGCAUGGAUCUAGAACAGAUCUAAUGAAAUCAGAAGAACCUCAAAAGUUAGGAUUUCAAAAGAACCUUGAUGGUGAGAAAGGCAUGGAAAGUCAUUGAUCUAAGCAGGAGAAGUCAAGAUCAGGCUCGAAUAACCAUGGCUGGCCGGAGCAAGGUCGGAGACAGCCAUAGAAAUCGAAUCGAACAACUUGUGGGCCCAGCUUCUUCGAGGUCAGGCCAUGAAACUUAAGUGUAGGACUUUAAUGGCCUUGGAAGCCAUGGAUUUCAGAGAUUUUU